AAACUUUCCACUGCCCUUUUACACAUGACACCCCAAGAUAGUGCUUGACUACUACCCAUUCAUGCCCACCAUCACUCUAGCAUUGCCAAUGUAAGACUCCCCGUCCUGCGCCCCAGAAAAAUGCUGAGCCUCCUCAACUCCAAGCUCCGCCGCCUCUGCCGCCGCCUCCGGUGGCCCUUCCGUCACCGCCGCUCCUCCGACUCCAAGGUCGUCGUCGUCAAGCAAUUCGGCAAAUCCCCCUCCGACCGCGGCACCGCCAGCCCGCGCCCGCACCCGCACCCGCACCCGCCCGCCGCGAACGGAUCCUCGUCCACCGUCCACCCGAACGACUCGAGGCCGCCCGGGUCGAUCCGCAUCGCGACAUUCAACGCCGCGCUCUUCUCCAUGGCCCCCGCCGUCCCGAAGCUGGAGAAGUCGUCGAGCCUCGACUUCGACAGCGAGGGAGCCGUCGUCGGCGGCCUCCGCGCCAAGUCGGCCAAUCUGGACCGCCCGCGGGGCAUACUCAAGCAGUCUCCCCUGCACCCGCUCAACGGCCAGGAUCACCUGACGAAGCAGCAGAAGUUCGCGAGAUCGAAGCUCCGGGUCUCCAUCAACCUGCCGGACAACGAAAUCUCCCUCCUCCGCAGCCGGCGGAACCUGAGCUUCAGCGAAUCGUCCGCCGCCACCGCCGCCGCCGCCGCCGCCUUCGAACCUCCGAGUUCUCCUUCUCCAUCUCCCCACUCCUCGUCCUUGGCCUCAGCGUCGAUCGGUCGAAUCUUCAAAGGGAAGGCUCCGGCGACGGCGAGGGGGAGCCUCGAGAACGGCGGUAGCGGCGGCGACCCCCGCGGCGGCCGGCAGGCGUACAGGAGCACGAGGACGGUGGUGGAGGUUCUGCGGGAGCUGGACGCGGACAUAGUGGCGCUGCAGGACGUGAAGGCGGAGGAGGAGAGGAGAUGAAGCCGCUGUCGGAGCUGGCGGCGGCGCUGGGGAUGAGCUACGCGUUCGCCGAGAGCUGGGCGCCGGAGUACGGCAACGCCGUCCUCUCCCGGUGGCCGAUCAAGCACUGGAAGGUCCAGAAGAUAUUCGACGACACCGAUUUCAGGAACGUUCUGAAGGCAACAAUAGAAGUGCCCCAUGUUGGGGAAGUGAACUUCCAGUGCACCCACCUGGAUCAUCUCGACGAGAACUGGCGGAUGAAGCAAGUCGACGCCAUCAUCCAGUCAAGCGACUCCCCCCACAUCUUGGCCGGUGGCCUCAACUCUCUCGAUGAGACCGAUUACUCGCAAGAGCGGUGGACCGACAUCAUCAAGUACUAUGAAGAGAUGGGAAAACCGACCCCAAAGGUUGAAGUCAUGAGGUUUCUGAAGAGCAAGCAGUACACAGAUGCUAAGGACUUUGCCGGAGAAUGCGAGUCCGUGGUCGUCAUUGCCAAAGGACAAAGUGUGCAAGGGACGUGCAAAUACGGAACGAGGGUGGACUACCUACUGGCGUCAGCAGAUUGCCCAUACAAGUUCAUUCCGGGGUCGUAUUCGGUCCUAUCAUCGAAAGGGACAUCGGAUCACCACAUCGUAAAGGUCGACGUAACGAAAUGCGAAAACAACCCUCCCCAUGAAAGCAAUGGCAACAACAAUAAAAUUACCAAGAAAAGGCGACGACAGCGCAAGCACCAGGCCGUUGUAAAGAUCUCAGGCACAGCUCCUCCUUCAAAGGGUAUAUGGACAACGAACACAUUAAGCAAAGUCAAAUGACAUUACAUUUAUAUCUCCCUUUUCUUUCCACUCUUUUCUCAGCUGCUGCUCCUGUUGCUGCUGUUGAGUGAACUUGGGCAUGCUGGCUUCGUCAAUCUCUAUGUAAAUCUUCGAUUGUUUUGUGCAUCUUGUCUUCUCUGUUUUUUUCUUCUUCAGUUUAGAGUUGAAGAGGGGAGGGUUCUGGUGUGAUGGCUUCCUCACAUCUGUAUAGAUUUCGACACGACAGAACUGAAUUCUUACGUUUCAACUAGGCAUUCUAAGCGGUUCUGCCAAGUUCUCUGCCAAGUUCUUUUUCAGUAUUUUAUGCCUUUUCUUUCCGCUUGUAAUCUUAACUGCAAGAUUCAGAUUAGUUUUGUCGAGGGCGACAUCUUAAGUUGA